rnacentral:lncRNA from 1 species
CUUCCUACCCCUGUUGUUUCGUGUAAGUACGUGGCUCUGUAGCGUAUCUUGCCUUGUGUGUGCAAGAAGCGAAGUUAAAGGCCGAGUGAAGCGCCACUGAGCUGGGAACCCCGAGCUUGUUACCGUUGUGUGAACCCUGCUUGGUGAGUGAAUAAAGCGGACCCUGUGCAAAGACACAAACUGAGUGGGCGCCUUUAUAGUAAGCACGCGACGUGGAGUAACGCCAUACAGUAAAAUGGUCUCUGGAACGAGGUCACGGAGAGUCACGUGUGCACGAACAAGGGCUUCAUAAAACGGACAGGCAGGGAUAGCCAUCGGUGUUGAAAUGCAACGUGCUGGGGCGCUGAGUGGCUCAGUGGGUUAAGACUCUGCCUUCAGCGCAGGCCAUGAUCCCAGGGUCCUGGGAUCGAGCCCCGCAUCGGGCUCUCUGCUCAGCAAGGAGCCUGCUUCCCUUCCUCUCUCUGCCUGCCUCUCUGCCUACUUGGGAUCUCUGUCAAAUAAGUGAAUGAAAUCUUUGAGGCCCAGGAAGAGAUGAACAAAAAUAGCUAACAAUAAAAUAGAACAAUUAUGACAAUACGCUGUAAUAAAGGUGUUGUGAAUGUGCUUUCUCUCGCUCAAAAUAUUUUGUUAGCCCCUACUCACCUUCCCGCCACACGAGAAACAGCCGACGGCCUCCCUGAAGAGACGAGGAGGUAAAUGAUGCGGAUAACGGACGCCGCAGGCUUUGCCACGCAGCGUCUGGCUACGGUGGGCGUCUUGACGCUACGUCGGAGGGAGGAGCAUGCGCUACAGAGCCGUGGUGGGCGGCGGGUGACUGAAAGCAGGGAAAGUAAAACCACAAACAAGGGGACUGUGGGACGACUGGGAGAAAAGAAUCAUUAUGAGAUUGUCCAAGGUCUAAAGGAUUGUAAGAGGACAUCAGGUUGCCAAUGA